rnacentral:rRNA from 1 species
GACGUAGGGGGCGAGCGUUGUCCGGAUUUAUUGGGCGUAAAGCGUGCGUAGGCGGCUGCGCAAGUCGGGUGUGAAACCCCGGGGCUCAACCCCGGAACUGCAUCCGAUACUGGAUGGCUUGAAUUCGGGAGAGGGAUGCAGAAUUCCAGGUGUAGCGGUGAAAUGCGUAGAUAUCUGGAGGAAUACCGGUGGCGAAGGCGGCAUCCUGGACCGACAUUGACGCUGAGGAGCGAAAGCUAGGGGAGCAAACGGG